rnacentral:tRNA from 1 species
GCCGCGGUGCUGGAAUAGGUAGACAGGACGGACUUAAAAUCCGUUGGGCCUAGCUCGUGUGGGUUCGAUUCCCACCCGCGGCAC